rnacentral:lncRNA from 1 species
AGCUGACCAGGAAGGUUCCACUUGAUCCUGGGCACCCGUUCUGGGUACAGCAUAGGCUAUUGGCCAACACAUGCUCAGCUGUGCCAAAGAUGAGAGGAGCAGGGCAUGUGCCUCGGGCAGCUCUGGUAGUUUCAUUAAGAUUCCUGUUUGCUGGGUAUGUCGUGGGGAAGCUGAUCAUGGUGUUCCCACCACCACGGCUAGCUGGGAAAGCCUUGUCUCACCUACCUCCAUCUCCUGCUUCCUGGGCACCUGCUUGCGGGAGAGAGAGAGAGCAAUUCAGUGAAAGUGCUGCAGCAAUCUCGGCCUUUGGCACUCUCCUCAGGAAUUUAUGAAGCUUGUGAUGUGAAUGAUGGAGCCAGCUAAGCCUCCUCUGCACUGACAGCUCAGCACAAUGACCUGUUGGGUGAUGAAAGAAAUGCCAGGUGCUUCAGUUUUCUGUUCCACCGAGUGGAUGUGUCCCCCGCCUCUGUCUCUCAGCUUCUGGAGGAAUUGAAGCCUGUGACAUGUUUCGUUCCCAGAUGCUUCUUGCAGCCUCUACCCGACACUGCUUAUGGAAGCUGAGGCUCAGAGAGGGCUCUGGAAUAUUUCAGCCGCUUACAUGUAGCCAUUUUGGUGUGGUUGUGUCAAAAUGACUUUGCCCAGAUGCAAAACCACUGGUAACUUAAACUUCUUUUUUAAGUAGUAUCUCCCAGGGAUCUCUGUAAGCCAUGUCACCCCCACCUGGUCUCUCCCUUUCCUCUUCCUCAACCCUGCCCUGACCCUGACUUACCCAACCCCUGCUUGAUCUUCAUGUGAUGAUGAGGCAGGUGUGGGGAAGAAGAAAGUAUUUGCAUAUUACUUGGUAAUUUUUCAGGAGGUAAAUGUUGGAUGCAUGUGCCUGCUGUUGUUUUGGUUUUAGG